UACAGAGGUCCCAAGCGUUGUUCGGAUUCACUGGGCGUACAGGGUGCGUAGGCGGUCGGGUAAGUCUGAUGUGAAAUCUCACAGCUUAACUGUGAAACUGCAUUGGAUACUAUCCGGCUAGAGGAAUGGAGGGGAGACUGGAAUACUUGGUGUAGCAGUGAAAUGCGUAGAUAUCAAGUGGAACACCAGUGGCGAAGGCGAGUCUCUGGACAUUUCCUGACGCUGAGGCACGAAAGCCAGGGGAGCAAACGGG
rnacentral:rRNA from 1 species